rnacentral:rRNA from 1 species
AACGAACGCUGGCGGCAGGCUUAACACAUGCAAGUCGAACGCCCCGCAAGGGGAGUGGCAGACGGGUGAGUAACGCGUGGGGACAUACCCUUUCCUGCGGAAUAGCUCUUGGAAACUGGAAUUAAUACCGCAUACGCCCGACGGGGGACAGAUUUAUCGGGGAAGGAUUGGCCCGCGUUGGAUUAGCUAGUUGGUGGGGUAAUGGCCUACCAAGGCGACGAUCCAUAGCUGGUCUGAGAGGAUGAUCAGCCACAUUGGGACUGAGACACGGCCCAAACUCCUACGGGAGGCAGCAGUGGGGAAUAUUGGACAAUGGGCGCAAGCCUGAUCCAGCCAUGCCGCGUGAGUGAUGAAGGCCUUAGGGUUGUAAAGCUCUUUCACCGAUGAAGAUAAUGACGGUAGUCGGAGAAGAAGCCCCGGCCAACUUCGUGCCAGCCGCCGCAGUAAGAC